GACGAACGCUGGCGGCGUGCUUAACACAUGCAAGUCGAACGGAAAGGCCUCAGCUUGCUGGGGUACUCGAGUGGCGAACGGGUGAGUAACACGUGGGUGAUCUGCCUUGCACUCUGGGAUAAGCUUGGGAAACUGGGUCUAAUACCGGAUAUGAACUGCCUUUAGUGUGGUGGUUGGAAAGUUUUUUCGGUGCAAGAUGAGCUCGCGGCCUAUCAGCUUGUUGGUGGGGUAAUGGCCUACCAAGGCGUCGACGGGUAGCCGGCCUGAGAGGGUGUACGGCCACAUUGGGACUGAGAUACGGCCCAGACUCCGACGGGAGGCAGCAGUGGGGAAUAUUGCACAAUGGGCGGAAGCCUGAUGCAGCGACGCCGCGUGGGGGAGGACGGCCUUCGGGUUGUAAACUCCUUUCGACAGGGACGAAGCUUUUUGUGACGGUACCUGUAUAAGAAGCACCGGCUAACUACGUG
rnacentral:rRNA from 1 species